AAAAAACUUUAAUUUGAAGGCAAACUCUAAUUGUUGCUUGUACAGUUGAUAAGAUACUCUACUAUUAAUUGGCUUAAAGCAUGGUAUUCCGAUUCUUAUUUUGGAAUCUUAGCAUAUCGAUUUACUGUUUUCUUCUUUUACCAAAUAAACUUAUAGGUUUACCAAGUGAACUAAGAAAAGAACAGAAAAUAAACUCUAGUUUAAGUAAAUGGACAAGGCCUGCUAACGCUCGGAUGGAAAAAGAAAAACAAUUUUUCGAUAAAUUUACCGUAACUGUAUUACCUUACCAUGACAAUGCCCAUGAGUUACCACUGUUUGAUAAUUUUUUCAAAAAUAAUGUUACUAGCAAUAAUAAGAAUGAUUCGCGGGUAA